UACGGAGGGUGCAAGCGUUAUCCGGAUUCACUGGGUUUAAAGGGAGCGUAGGUGGACUUUUAAGUCAGUGGUGAAAUCUCUGGGCUUAACCCGGAAACUGCCAUUGAUACUAUUAGUCUUGAAUUCUCUGGAGGUAAGCGGAAUAUGUCAUGUAGCGGUGAAAUGCUUAGAUAUGACAUAGAACACCCAUUGCGAAGGCAGCUUACUACGGAGACAUUGACACUGAGGCUCGAAAGCGUGGGGAUCAAACAGGAUUAGAAACCCCCGUAGUCC
rnacentral:rRNA from 1 species